rnacentral:lncRNA from 1 species
AUGUAUUUUUUUUUUCUUCUAGAACCUCCAUCAAAUUAUCCAGGAGGCAAAGGAGAGAGGCAGCUGAUUCCCGCCACUGGGGCUGGGACUUGCUGUGCGGACUCUGCUCUGACUCUCGAUUCUCACGGCACAGGCUCCACGGGAGCAAGGGCCCGGGAGCCGUGGGAAGCCUGCGUGGGACCCGCAGACCCCUGUCCAGGGAACCACGUGACAUGCACAGCAGCGGGUCCCGAACUGUCCUCAGCACCAUGGCAACCAGGAGCAAGGUUUCUCAGCAGCCUGGGAGGCUGGUCCUUCAGCAAACAUCAGACUACAAGACCCACAGAAGAGCAAAGAAACUUCAAAGGGGAAGACAUACUUGCGUGCCCAGACCACAACACAAACCGUAGGGUGGACCUGCUGUUCCUGCUGCACCUGCACAUGGGCCGCAUCCUCUCCUAGGAGGCUGCAAUGUGGCUACCCACAGGAAGGGCGCGACCUCGUGUUUACUCACCUUGCCCUUCGAGGAACCAACCCUUGUUGUUGUGAGAGGAAGCCGAGGCCAGAAGAAACCUCAAGGUCCCCCUCGCAAGCACCGUGGAGGACACCCAACCGCAGCCCUGAAGGUGCGACUGGCACCUGCAGCCCCAGGAGCCGCAGGGCAGGCUGGGCCACGCUGGGCCCUCCUCUCCAGCGUCUCCUCCUGACUCUCCUCAGCCUCCAGGCCUCGUGGAGCUGCAUCUCCCUCAGGAAGUGGCCCAGCCGAGCUCUCGACUCUGGGACUUUGGUCCUGUUGACAGGGGUGGAGCCCUCCUGACUGCCUCUCAAACCAGCAUCGGGCAGAAGAGCAGCUUCCAGCUUCCAGAACGGCUCCAACUUCCUAUUAAAAGACCCACAAAAGUAAAUACAUUUUAGGUCACGACCUGAUCCUCACACAAAUUUUACAAAACAGUACUCAUCCUGACUAGGUGGAACGUGCUGUGAUUUUAUAGUCUAUUCUAGCUUCACUUAAACUAAUCUGGUUUAUUUGACUUUUAAAAUUGGUUUCGGGCCCCUCAGUUACAUAGUGAGCCACUAGUGUGCUGGAGGUACUGGCUCACCAGAUCCAACCAGUAAAUUGUCAGGAUUGGUUGUUAACAGAACCAUUGUUAAGUUAAAUUGUAUAAGCUUUCCAAGUUUAUGAAAUUAUAGGGGCCCGUGCUCUUGAGGUUAUCAGUGUCUAUUGUGUGGCGGAAACACCUUUCAAUGACCUGCCCUUUAUGUCUCUUCCCAGCUCAGAGCGUCUGCACCACGGGGACCAGCAGCCUCAACACAGCCCCGCUCUCUCCAGCCGGUUGUUAAGCCUUUCCCAGCAGGCAGCUGGUUGCGACCUGCAGUGUGAAAUGCCCUGUUCUGGUUGAUGCCCCUCACCUGUCUCACCCACCUUUGUCUUUAGGUGAAGAGACUAAAGCGAGGUUGGGGA